rnacentral:lncRNA from 1 species
CCAUUUCAUCAUUCUGUAAAUCCGAAUUCACCGAAAAUCAUUUUACAAAGAAACAGCUUCACAGAACUAUAAAUACUAUGCUUCUUUGUUCACUUAUAUGUGAGGGGGAAAUGUUCAGCCCUUAAUUUAAUAUAAUGUCAAAACAAUUUACACGUUUUUUUUUUAUCCCAAUGAGCUUUAUGUGUUACAAUUGAUCACAAUAACGUGUGUUAAAGAGCACUGUUCAACCCCCAUAUAUUUGUUUUCUGAGGAGUUUCCUCACAAGAACUGUGGAAAGCAGCAAACUUGGGAGGAAAUGAGCAUCACACAUUUCACCAGUGCGAUAAUGAUUCGCUUGAUUGUGUUGGCGUUGACCCUUAAUAUAGUAGUUGGCAGCGAUGAACUCACCUUCGUCACCGCAAGUUGCAGAGAGGACGUAGCUUUGCACUGUACUUUCCAUGAAAACUGUCAGAACUACACCUCUGUUACGUGGUACAAGUUCUACAAUAACAGCAGUGACAGAUCUACAACAAUGACAAUCCUCAUAAAGUCAGAAAAUGUCAUCCAAACUGAUAAGCGCAACGAUUCUGUGUCACUGGAUAAAAAUGCAUCUUUGGUCUUAAGGAAAGUUGCUCCUGCCAAUUCUGGGAUCUACAAGUGUUUAAUUAGAGCCAAAGCUGGAGGAAUGAACUGUCAAAAUCGGGUUAGACUUAAUAUCUCAGAUUGUGUGUCAACAGCUUCACCCAUCAUCUUUGAUUUCUCCACCAAGUUUAUUAAUGAAUCAUGGGCAAACAUUAGCAUCCCAUUGCCUCAUGUGAAUGAUGAUUCAGUGCUCUUUGUCCUUUGGGGUUGUGUAGGACUGGCUGUGAGUAAACUUGUCCUCAGUACCAUUUGCAUAUGGGUUUUCAAGGAGCUCAGCAAACUUAAAAGAAGACGGACUUAAGACCAACCACUGUUUACCUGCCACAUGGUUUAGUAAUUUAUUAUCAUCAUUUUAAUAAUUUAUCUGAAUUUACCUGUGAAUAAUACACUUAAUGCAACAGUCAUGAUGAAACCGUACUGAUACUCUGAGG